AGCGAACGCUGGCGGCAGGCCUAACACAUGCAAGUCGAACGAAGUCUUCGGACUUAGUGGCGGACGGGUGGGCAACACGUGGGAACGUGCCUUUAGGUUCGGAAUAACUCAGGGAAACUUGUGCUAAUACCGAAUGUGCCCUUCGGGGGAAAGAUUUAUCGCCUUUAGAGCGGCCCGCGUCUGAUUAGCUAGUUGGUGAGGUAAAGGCUCACCAAGGCGACGAUCAGUAGCUGGUCUGAGAGGAUGAUCAGCCACAUUGGGACUGAGACACGGCCCAAACUCCUACGGGAGGCAGCAGUGGGGAAUCUUGCGCAAUGGGCGAAAGCCUGACGCAGCCAUGCCGCGUGAAUGAUGAAGGUCUUAGGAUUGUAAAAUUCUUUCACCGGGGACGAUAAUGACGGUACCCGGAGAAGAAGCCCCGGCUAACUUCGUGCCAGCCGCCGCGGUAACAC
rnacentral:rRNA from 1 species